AAUAGACAAUGCCGUUGACUUUUUCUCACAUGUUUGACCAUUUAUCUUAUUUAAAAAAAAUAUGUAAUUAUAAUUUAUUUUGUUAUGAGUUGUUUUAUCACUUAUAGUACUUUAAGUGUGAUUUAUAUCUUAUACAUUUGCAUAAUUUUUUUUAAUAAGACGAAUGGUCAAACAUGUGAGAAAAAGUCAAUGGCGUCAUCUAUU
rnacentral:pre_miRNA from 1 species